GACGAACGCUGGCGGCGUGCUUAACACAUGCGAGUCGAACGGUGAAGCUCCAGCUUGCUGGAGUGGAUCAGUGGCGAACGGGUGAGUAACACGUGAGCAACCUGCCCCUGACUCUGGAAUAAGCGCUGGAAACGGCGUCUAAUACUGGAUACGAGAAGGGUCCGCAUGGGCACUUUCUGGAAAGUUUUUCGGUUGGGGAUGGGCUCGCGGCCUAUCAGCUUGUUGGUGAGGUAAUGGCUCACCAAGGCGACGACGGGUAGCCGGCCUGAGAGGGCGACCGGCCACACUGGGACUGAGACACGGCCCAGACUCCUACGGGAGGCAGCAGUGGGGAAUAUUGCACAAUGGGCGAAAGCCUGAUGCAGCGACGCCGCGUGAGUGAUGACGGCCUUCGGGUUGUAAACCUCUUUCAGCAGGGAAGAAGCGAAAGUGACGGUACCUGCAGAAGAAGCACCGGCUAACUACGUG
rnacentral:rRNA from 1 species